ACAGCAUUCCAGGGGUCUGGCUGGACUGACUUCCACCACUGUUGAACCUGCCUUCUUCCUCUCUGCUUCUUCAGUUCCACACCACAGGUUCCAGAUCAUCCCAGUGAUGCCAAUCCUGGUACGACUAACUUUUUUUUAUGGAACACUCAUGUUUUACAGCCCUGAGAUGCCAUAUAAGAAUACAACUGUCCGGAGACUGCCACGCUGGCAAGCUACAUGUGGACAUUCUGGUCAAAACACUGCAGCUGACAACAGUCCAGACAACAGUCUGCUUCCAGUGUCAGCCAUAUGGAUGCGCUGUCUUGGCCACUGAGUCCAGUGGAGCCUUUGGAUGAUGACAGUAAUAACUAACAACUGACCGCAAUUUCAUGAGAAGCCCCAAGCAAGGACUGCCCGGUGAAGAGUUUACAAAUCCCCGACUCAUAAAAUUGUGAGCAAAAAACACCAGUCAUUCCAAACUGCCCAAUUUUGGGGUUAACUGGUAUGCAGCAAUAGUAACCUGAACACCACAGAGGUGAACUCACUGGGUUUCCAACACCCAUGUUCCUCUUUUCCCAUUGCAAGCCAAUGCCUGGGAGGCAUGGUAAAGUAUGCUGAGAGUGACCUUCAGUUUCCUCAUAUCAUCUUGACACAAAUGAGCCAGGCACUUGUAAUUUUCAUUAUUCGCCACAAGAAGAGGAGCUUCUCUCAGUAGGAAAUAUACAACAUCCAAAAAUAUAGAGGUAUUUUAUGUAUCUCAUGAGUGGUUACUUAAAGAAGGUUGAAGGGUUGGAGAAUCAAUGGAGAAGGUGACGAGUGAAGGAGAGAAAAUUAUAGCCAAACUGCCACCAUGCAGAGGGUGACGUGAUUUACCCAAGGCAAAAUUCAUUUGUCAUGAUGAAGGAUUCCUCAGUUCUAAAGACUGAAUAUGCAUAAUAGAUAUACUUGGAGGCUGACUCAGGAUCAGUUCUCCUAAAAGAAGUUCAACUGAGUAGCAUGUAGGAAUCAUAUGCAAAGAAGCUUCUCGAUGCAGGACAGAGCACAGCCUCAGGAAGGUCACACAGGUCAAGCUGAUUACCUCCUCCAGCUCUGGCAAGCAGAGGGCUCAGCUGGGUUACCCAAGUUCACAAGGAGCUAUUGACAUUCAGCUUCAGCUCUCACUCAUUACAGAUCAGCAGGGGACUGUCUGGGCCUUAGGUUAACUCUUCCCUGCCCUCUUUCAAGAUUGCAGUGAGGCUAAAAAUGAAAAGAAGCUGCACGGUAACAUGGACACAGUUUAUGCCUGGUUAUUAUUCAAGAGAUGAACCUUUUCAACCAAUAUCUAAUAAACCUCUUCCAAGGGAAGCAACAAUAGCCUUCAUCAUUUUGCAAGUAAAUGUGUUUGUCCCACAUUUGUUCAUUAUGCAGUAAAUGUUUAUUUUGGAGGAGGAUGGUAGUGGGGAGGAUGUUUUAUCUUCCCAUGGAUCAUUCCCACUUCGGCUUUGAGAAAGGAAGCCCCA